rnacentral:lncRNA from 10 species
UUUGUUCCUUAAUUUGGGAAUACAUGAACUACACCUAUUGACUCAAUCUUUGAUAGAAAUUGAUGAAAUAUUGUGACUUUAAAAAAAAUUAUCAUUGCUUCCUUCAUCCUGUUGUUGGGGGCGUCUCCAGAAUGUUGGAUCCUAGGCUACAGAGAGAGGGGUGAACAUAGUGUGAUCCCACCUUCGCAGCUCCCACAGUGUAUGGGGAACAAAAACAAAGAAAGUAGCAGAAAGAGGCAGAAGUGAGGUCCUAGGGCAACCAAGAGUCAAUUCAUUUGCUCUGGAAAAAGGCCAAGGCAAGUCAGGAAGAAGUUGGAGAGUGGCUAGAGUUAGGCACGUAGUCUCCAGCUCCCCUGACAUUGCCAGUUCGGCUCACUACAAGGAGGGCAGCAGCAGAUCCAAUCUCACCUCUCCAGCUUCUGGGAAGAAGACACUACUCUCUCAGGUUAGUUCCAUGACUUGACUAAAUGGGGGCUUGGCUAUCUUGACAGAGUCUCAUUCCAGCCCUGUUCACAUGCUCGGUGGUUGUGGAAAUACAGACUCCAAGUCAUUCAACACUUUUAGCACCUUCCUGAGACCAUUUACUCUCUAAAAUGGAGUCUACCUGCUUCCACCUGAGAGCUAAAGAACCUUCUCUUUGAUCAAGCUGAGUUCCAGAGUUCCAAGUUUCCCAGGAUUCAGAGAUCCCUGGCCCAGCUGUGAUAUGCAGUCUCAAAACACAAAACAUCUGGAGAGAUGAUAUGAACAGUUCAUCUUUCCCUAUUUAUAUUUGAAGGCUAAGGCAAUGUUUAUGGAAUAAAGAAUUUGUUUAAAUGAAUGUCUGAACAUUAUGAAUUCCUUGUUAUACUUUAUCUGGCUUCACAAUUGAUGUAGUGAACCAAGAUCUCUCUAUACAUAUACUCACAUGCAUACACAUACACAUAGGCUUAUAGUCAUAAAGCUAUAUAGUCAUAUAUACAUGUAUCUAUAUAUCAAAAAAGAGAUUGUUAUUUUUCUUUAUGUACCUAGGGAAAUCCCUGAACCUAUUAAGGCCACUAUAUUCAUUUCUCUAAAGUCUAAAAGCAGACUGGAAGGAUGGAAUAUGAGUAUAACACGAAAGUAAUAUUUUUCACAAAGUCAUGGCUAUUAAGAACCUUAUAGUCUUUGAGUGGAGUGUAUAAUUUGAAAUUAAAGUUUCAUAACUGAGUAUCCUUCUUUUUAGAAGAAAAAUGUUCUCAUAAAUCUGUUACCCAAAAUGCUUUUGAAAGAAAAUUUACCAUUUUCUUCAACUUUAAAAUCAUACUUGCAAGGGAAGCUCUGUGCAGAGAUGUUUGGCAUAAAUAUGAAUGACAAUAUAUAAAAACUAUUACCACACUACUAAAAAAUGUUGGGCAGCUUUGACCUGGUUAUUUGAUUGAACUUUCUGAAUCUGAUUUGUCAACUGAAGACAAGUAAAAGUUUUUUUACAAAUUCUAUCCUUAGCCUCUCAAUUAAUCUCAAAUAUUUGUUCAGAGAAAUAAUUGAAAAUUCUGACUGUAUCCUGACUGAAAUGUGGAUCACUGGGGGCCUCAAAGCUUCAGUGUGUUUAGUUCCCUAUGGUUUUGAGGCACAUGCCCUAUGUGAACCUUUUGAAGGACAGAAAAAUUCAUAACUGACUAGCAAUUGGUUAACUUUAGUUAAAAAGUGAAACACCUACUCUAGUGGUGCAAAAGAUGUCUGCAAAGGGCAAAAUCUUCAGCUUUGAAAGGCAUUCAGCAAUGUCAAUAGACUAGCACUUGAGAGUCACCUAAAAUUUAUUUGUAUUACUUUUCACCCAAUUUUAAAGAAGAAUAUUUCUAAGAUAAAAGCUUAAAACUUUUUAAUUAAAAAAAAAAAACUAAACUCAGUACUCCUAAGCCUUCAUAGAUAUAUACUUCAGUAUCUUGCAUGACAUUGAAAGCUCUAAUAACCAAAUUCUUUCCUGACUCCUAAUUAUGUGUCCUUGUUCUUCUGUUUAAAGUAACAUUUUGUGUCUAUUUGUGUAUAUGCAUGUGUACACAUUUGUGUGAGUUCACAAAUGAUUACUCUGAUGAAUGUUAAUUUAUAUCAAUCUAACCAAAAUAAAAUUAGAGAAAUCUUAUUUUGUUUUUUCAUUUAAAGUUUUAAAUUAGAAAAAUCUAAUUUU